GUCGACGAGAAAACAAGAAAUUUAAUGAAAAGGUGUUGUGACCCUGUAACUGGCUUUCAGUCAAUAAUAGAAGAAAUUAUAGAAAAUAUAACUCAAAUGAAAAUUGAUCUGCUGAAUGGUUAUGACAAUCCUGCAUUUCAUGUAGGAGGAAGUGGCACUGAGGGAAUCUAUUCGUCUGGUAAUAUGUUAUAGUAAACUUAAGAUA